rnacentral:rRNA from 1 species
AGUGAACGCUGGCGGCAGGCCUAACACAUGCAAGUCGAACGGCAGCACAGUAAGAGCUUGCUCUUACGGGUGGCGAGUGGCGGACGGGUGAGGAAUACAUCGGAAUCUACUUUUUCGCGGGGGAUAACGUAGGGAAACUUACGCUAAUACCGCAUACGACCUACGGGUGAAAGCAGGGGAUCUUCGGACCUUGCGCGAUUGAAUGAGCCGAUGUCGGAUUAGCUAGUUGGCGGGGUAAAGGCCCACCAAGGCGACGAUCCGUAGCUGGUCUGAGAGGAUGAUCAGCCACACUGGAACUGAGACACGGUCCAGACUCCUACGGGAGGCAGCAGUGGGGAAUAUUGGACAAUGGGCGCAAGCCUGAUCCAGCCAUACCGCGUGGGUGAAGAAGGCCUUCGGGUUGUAAAGCCCUUUUGUUGGGAAAGAAAAGCAGCAGGUUAAUACCCCGCUGUUCUGACGGUACCCAAAGAAUAAGCACCGGCUAACUUCGUG